GGAAAUAUCUGGGGUCUCUGGAGUGGUGCAAGGAGAACCAAAAGCCCAACUCUCUGACUCUCUAGUGUUUCUCUUUGGCUUUCCAACAGGUGACUUCUUGUUUCUAAUAAACUAGUAGUACUCAUUUUUAAGACUUUGUUCAGUGACAGUUUAUGGAGGCUGAAUAUAUGACCAGCAGAAAUCACAAACAUAUCCAAGUUAUGGGUUUGAGUGCCGCGGACAGUAAGAAGCACAUCAGUGGAAAGCACUAUAAAUAUUUCUACUCAAUUUCCUGCACUGUUGGGUUGUAUAACACUCCCUAGCUCUUUGUGAACAGUUUACUAACUCUUUAUAGACUAGCCACGACUGAACUCCUGGAUUUAUGUGGGACCAACAAGUUGCUGCAGGCCUGGAGCAUCGCCCAGGCUGAGGUUUUGCUGUUUUGAUUCUACGAAAUUAUCUGUCUUCUGCUCAAACAUAAAGCUCCCUGAGGCUCGGGAACACAGCCACGAAGAAGCAGGAGCACAUUUGAUAAAGACUCAGCAAUGCCUUUGCUGGCAGAGCUCGACGCAAGACGCGUAUUUAUUUUUUUAUUUAUUUAUCUUGGAUUACUCCAACAAGGCCGGUGUCCAAUCUAGGACCUUUGGGCACCCUCACACAUCGUUAACAACAUGCUGGUGCCCCAGCAGUGAUAAAGUCAUCGUUUGGCACGGGCUCAGUGGUCAGAAACUGUCCUCAGCUUUACCGCAACCAGCCUUUGGGACUCUCCAAGCACCUUAACAAAGCAGAAGGGGAUUUUUGGUGUCUGUUCCACCAUCAUCCACCAGUUUCAGAAACGUCAAGCGCUUGCAAGGCCUUUCCUUCAGCUCUCUGAAAUCACUUUUUUGGGAAUAAGCUCUAAGAAAUGGGAACGUUCCUGCUGGGAAUGGAAGCACACAAGGGAUCUUUUUUCGGCUGGGAGUGGCUCGCAGUGCUGCUUGCAGUUGCACAAGGGGUAGUUCUUCUGCAGGGGGACUGUUUAAAGGGAAAGAUUUGAUAAAGCCACGAUUCCUACAGCUCCGCUGUUUUUUUCUUCAUCAGGAUAGUGAUUGAAAACACCAGUUGGCUGCGUGGACUCCCAGUUUUGGGAGAAGUUCAUCUGACAGAUUUUCUGCCGGGAAAGAAACUGCCCAGCAUGUCAGAGAGUCCUGGCAAGCACCAUGAGACGCAGGAAAUAAGAGCAGGGAGAGAUCACAAAGCUCUGGAGAAGCUGCUCUUCUGCCAAGCACUCUGAAGAAAGCCAAACAUGGUUGAACACUGUGGAAAAAGAGUUGCCUCCACUUUUUGGAGCAGGACGGCAAGAAAAAAGGUCAUCUGUCCACCGAAGGCUCCCCCAGGUUCUACAGCACAAGCUGACAUCCCCAGUGGGAGGGCUGUAGACAAACCAAACCUUGGAAGCAGCCUCCCAAAUCUGGGGUCAGUCAGGUCAAUGACAACAGGGCAUACCAAGCAACUCCCAGCCUGGCUAGGAUGCAAAGAAGAAAAAGUCAUGAUUUGAGAGUCAUGUUUCUUCAAAGCAGGAUCCUCCUUCAGCUCUGGAACAGGAUGAUGCUGAGAGCUCCCUAAAUAAGCUCUUGUUUCAAGAUGACCCAGAAGAUUUCAGGAAGAGCUGGAAGAUGGCAUCUCCCAAAGGCACACCAAUAUCUGAAGAAGCCAAAGCAGUAAAAUAGAUGAGCUAUCUUGUGCUGUAAAUUUCCAAUAGGAUUGACUGGGAGGGCUCACGAAGAUUUCACGAUUUGGAUGAGGGAUUCUCUAAGGAGAGCUCAGAUUUGAAGGAAAACUGUGGGAGAAUAGGUUGGGUUUUUGGAUUUCUACCUGUGUGCCAGGGGUUACUGGGAUCGGUGGUUUAAUUCUAAGCAGGCUUCAGCUUGAGUUAAAAAGAGCUUUGUCUGCAGCACACAGAUCUCCACAUGCCAGACUCCUGCCGGGAGCCACUUCUCCACUGGAAAAUCUCUGUAAGGUGAAAAAAGAUGGAAAAGCCCUGCAGCAGGCAAGCCCUGCCAGUCCCAUUUGCUCAGGCUUCUCCUUACCCUGAACCUCACUGGGAAGUUGCAUGAGCUCAGGAUCUCCAUAGCAGAGAGAAGUCACAUCCUCUGUCCCCAAAGCAUUGCUUCCAGUCCAGCUGAGGGAAGACCCCCAGCUUCACUAAGUGCAAGCGAAGGACUUCUGGUUCCCUGCAGUAGAGGGCAGCAAUGACACAUACACACAAAAUAACCACUUAAUGACAAAUG
rnacentral:lncRNA from 1 species